GACGAAGGUGGCGAGCGUUGUUCGGAAUCACUGGGCAUAAAGCGCACGUAGGCGGCGAUGUAAGUCGGGUGUGAAAUCCCUCGGCCCAACCGAGGAACUGCGCCCGAAACUGCAUUGCUUGAGGAUCAAAGGGGUGCUCGGAAUUUCCGGUGGAGCGGUGAAAUGCGUUGAUAUCGGAAGGAACGUCGGCGGCGAAAGCGGAGCACUGGUUGAUUUCUGACGCUGAGGUGCGAAAGCCAGGGGAG
rnacentral:rRNA from 1 species